UCCCUGGUGGUCCAGUGGUUAAGACUCUGCGCUUCCGAGGCAGGGGGCAUAGGUUCAAUCCCUGACCAGGGAA
rnacentral:tRNA from 1 species